rnacentral:rRNA from 1 species
ACCUUCGGGCCUCUUGCCAUCAGAUGUGCCCAGAUGGGAUUAGCUUGUUGGUGAGGUAACGGCUCACCAAGGCGACGAUCCCUAGCUGGUCUGAGAGGAUGACCAGCCACACUGGAACUGAGACACGGUCCAGACUCCUACGGGAGGCAGCAGUGGGGAAUAUUGCACAAUGGGCGCAAGCCUGAUGCAGCCAUGCCGCGUGUAUGAAGAAGGCCUUCGGGUUGUAAAGUACUUUCAGCGGGGAGGAAGGUGUUGUGGUUAAUAACCGCAGCAAUUGACGUUACCCGCAGAAGAAGCACCGGCUAACUCCGUGCCAGCAGCCGCGGUAAUACGGAGGGUGCAAGCGUUAAUCGGAAUUACUGGGCGUAAAGCGCACGCAGGCGGUCUGUCAAGUCGGAUGUGAAAUCCCCGGGCUCAACCUGGGAACUGCAUUCGAAACUGGCAGGCUUGAGUCUUGUAGAG